rnacentral:miRNA from 1 species
ACUGGGAUUAUCGGUAUAUGCCACUGCACCAGCAUGGAAUGGUUUUCUUAAUUUCAUUUUUUGAUCAUUUAUACAAGUGCAUAAAAAUAUGAAAUUAAGAAAACCAUUCCAUGCUGGUGCAGUGGCAUAUACCGAUAAUCCCAGU